rnacentral:rRNA from 1 species
GACGAACGCUGGCGGCGUGCUUAACGCAUGCAAGUCGAACGGAAAGGCCCUGCUUGCAGGGUACUCGAGUGGCGAACGGGUGAGUAACACGUGGGUGAUCUGCCCUGCACUUCGGGAUAAGCCUGGGAAACUGGGUCUAAUACCGGAUAGGAGCCAUUUUUAGUGUGAUGGUUGGAAAGUUUUUUCGGUGUAGGAUGAGCUCGCGGCCUAUCAGCUUGUUGGUGGGGUAAUGGCCUACCAAGGCGGCGACGGGUAGCCGGCCUGAGAGGGUGGACGGCCACAUUGGGACUGAGAGACAGCCCAGACUCCUACGGGAGGCAGCAGUGGGGAAUAUUGCACAAUGGGCGCAAGCCUGAUGCAGCGACGCCGCGUGGGGGAUGACGGCCUUCGGGUUGUAAACUCCUUUCGCUAGGGACGAAGCUUUUUGUGACGGUACCUAGAUAAGAAGCACCGGCUAACUACGUG